GACGAACGCUGGCGGCGCGCCUAACACAUGCAAGUCGAACGAGCGAGAGAGAGCUUGCUUUCUCGAGCGAGUGGCGAACGGGUGAGUAACGCGUGAGGAACCUGCCUCAAAGAGGGGGACAACAGUUGGAAACGACUGCUAAUACCGCAUAAGCCCACAGCUCGGCAUCGAGCAGAGGGAAAAGGAGUGAUCCGCUUUGAGAUGGCCUCGCGUCCGAUUAGCUGGUUGGUGAGGUAACGGCCCACCAAGGCGACGAUCGGUAGCCGGACUGAGAGGUUGAACGGCCACAUUGGGACUGAGACACGGCCCAGACUCCUACGGGAGGCAGCAGUGGGGAAUAUUGCACAAUGGGGGAAACCCCGAUGCAGCGACGCCGCGUGGAGGAAGAAGGUCUUCGGAUUGUAAACUCCUGUUGUUGAGGAAGAUAAUGACGGUACUCAACAAGGAAGUGACGGCUAACUACGUGCCAGCAGCCGCGGUAAAACGUAGGUCACAAGCGUUGUCCGGAAUUACUGGGUGUAAAGGGAGCGCAGGCGGGAAAGCAAGUUGGAAGUGAAAUCCAUGGGCUCAACCCAUGAACUGCUUUCAAAACUGUUUUUCUUGAGUAGUGCAGAGGUAGGCGGAAUUCCCGGUGUAGCGGUGGAAUGCGUAGAUAUCGGGAGGAACACCAGUGGCGAAGGCGGCCUGCUGGGCACCAACUGACGCUGAGGCUCGAAAGUGUGGGUAGCAAACAGG
rnacentral:rRNA from 1 species